rnacentral:rRNA from 1 species
UACGUAGGGGGCAAGCGUUGUCCGGAAUUAUUGGGCGUAAAGAGCGCGUAGGCGGUCUGAUAAGUCGGUUGUGAAAGUCGGGGGCUCAACCCUCGGAUGCCGAUCGAUACUGUCAGGCUAGAGUCCGGAAGAGGCGAGUGGAAUUCCUGGUGUAGCGGUGAAAUGCGCAGAUAUCUGGGGGAAGGCCGGCGGCGAAGGCGCUUUUCUGGUUAGAUCCUGACACUGAGGCACGAAAGCGUGGGGAGCAAACAGG